rnacentral:rRNA from 1 species
GAUGAACGCUGGCGGCGUGCCUAAUACAUGCAAGUCGAGCGAACAGACGAGGAGCUUGCUCCUCUGACGUUAGCGGCGGACGGGUGAGUAACACGUGGAUAACCUACCUAUAAGACUGGGAUAACUUCGGGAAACCGGAGCUAAUACCGGAUAAUAUAUUGAACCGCAUGGUUCAAUAGUGAAAGACGGUUUUGCUGUCACUUAUAGAUGGAUCCGCGCCGCAUUAGCUAGUUGGUAAGGUAACGGCUUACCAAGGCAACGAUGCGUAGCCGACCUGAGAGGGUGAUCGGCCACACUGGAACUGGAACACGGUCCAGACUCCUACGGGAGGCAGCAGUAGGGAAUCUUCCGCAAUGGGCGAAAGCUUGACGGAGCAACGCCGCGUGAGUGAUGAAGGUCUUCGGAUCGUAAAACUCUGUUAUUAGGGAAGAACAAAUGUGUAAGUAACUAUGCACGUCUUGACGGUACCUAAUCAGAAAGCCACGGCUAACUACGUG